rnacentral:rRNA from 1 species
CCUACGGGAGGCAGCAGUGGGGAAUAUUGGACAAUGGGGGGAACCCUGAUCCAGCGACGCCGCGUGAGUGAAGAAGUAUUUCGGUAUGUAAAGCUCUAUCAGCAGGGAAGAAAGAAAUGACGGUACCUGACUAAGAAGCCCCGGCUAACUACGUGCCAGCAGCCGCUGUAAUACGUAGGGGGCAAGCGUUAUCCGGAUUUACUGGGUGUAAAGGGAGCGUAGACGGCGAUGCAAGUCUGAAGUGAAAGGCGGGGGCCCAACCCCCGGACUGCUUUGGAAACUGUAUGGCUGGAGUGCAGGAGAGGUAAGUGGAAUUCCUAGUGUAGCGGUGAAAUGCGUAGAUAUUAGGAGGAACACCAGUGGCGAAGGCGGCUUACUGAACUGUAACUGACGUUGAGGCUCGAAAGCGUGGGGAGCAAACAGGAUUAGAUACCCUUGUAGUC